UCUACGGAGAGUUUGAUCCUGGCUCAGGACGAACGCUGGCGGCGUGCUUAACACAUGCAAGUCGAACGAUGAAGCACCAGCUUGCUGGUGUGGAUUAGUGGCGAACGGGUGAGUAACACGUGAGUAACCUGCCCCUCACUCUGGGAUAAGCCUGGGAAACUGGGUCUAAUACUGGAUACGACCGAUCUCCGCAUGGAGUGUUGGUGGAAAGUUUUUGUGGUGGGGGAUGGACUCGCGGCCUAUCAGCUUGUUGGUGGGGUAAUGGCCUACCAAGGCGACGACGGGUAGCCGGCCUGAGAGGGCGACCGGCCACACUGGGACUGAGACACGGCCCAGACUCCUACGGGAGGCAGCAGUGGGGAAUAUUGCACAAUGGGCGAAAGCCUGAUGCAGCGACGCCGCGUGAGGGAUGACGGCCUUCGGGUUGUAAACCUCUUUCACCAGGGACGAAGCUAACGUGACGGUACCUGGAGAAGAAGCACCGGCUAACUACGUGCCAGCAGCCGCGGUAAUACGUAGGGUGCGAGCGUUGUCCGGAAUUAUUGGGCGUAAAGAGCUUGUAGGCGGUU
rnacentral:rRNA from 1 species